rnacentral:rRNA from 1 species
UACGUAUGUCUCAAGCGUUACCCGGAAUCAUUGGGUGUAAAGGGUUUGUAGGUGGAUAAUUAAGUCAGGUAUGAAAGACCGGAGCUCAACUCCGUGUUUGUAUUUGAAACUGGUUGUCUAGAAUCAGGGAGAGGUAAGCGGAAUUCUAAGUGUAGGGGUGCAAUCCGUAGAUACUUAGAGGAACACCAAAAGCGAAGGCAGCUUACUGGAACUGUAUUGACACUGAUAAACGAAAGCGUGGGGAGCGAAAAGG